GGGAAAUGAUGGGCCAAUAGUCUCCUUUUCCUUUUAAGCAUUGAUCCUUGAGAAGAGGGCAUGAUAUGAUGUCUAGUGAUCCAAGCCUGGCAGGGAGGCCCUCCAUGGGCAAAGACUGGAGUUUAGGACAGCUAUCAAUACAUAAAGUUUGAAGAGAAAUGAGGCUUUGGAGGCCUCUAGAUAUAGAUUUUAGAUUCUUGAAUCCACAGAUGCAAAGGUCUGUUAGUGAAAUGGGCAGUAGUAACCCAUCUUCAUCAGGAAAGGAAACUUCCAAAUCUGUGCUAGGACAUGUAUUGCGAACUGUCAAUUCUUUAAGAAAGGUGAGUCUAUGGAGUCCCCAUUGUGAUAUUGGCUGUGUCAACUUCUGGCAAUCCCAGAUCAUGAGUCUAGUUAGAUUUGGAGACAAACCCUCUUCUGGAAAUGACACCAGACCAUGGCAAUCGUAUAUCUCUAAGGACUGAAGAGACACAAGGUUCUGCAUCUGAUUUGGCAGGCACCUAAAAUUCUCACAGCCAUAGAUUCUGAAAUUGAUAAGAGUUGGGAUAGACAAUCCCAUUAGUGGAAAUGACUCUAACUCAGGACAAUCUAUUAUUGACAGCUCAGUGAGAUGCGAAAGCCCAUUGCCUAAAGACCUUAACAAUUGUGUCGGGCAAUUGCGUAUAGAAAGAGACUUGAGAGAAUCAGAAAACUUGCCAGUUGAGAAGGAUGAGAGAGACAAGCAUCCUUCAAUAUCAAAC
rnacentral:misc_RNA from 1 species